rnacentral:lncRNA from 1 species
UCCAACCGUAUAAUGAAUAGUUUCUCUUCACCAUUGAUGGCAAGUCAAAAACCAAUGGGGGCACGAACGCGUGUGUGCUUUCUUGUCAUGAGUUAGAAAAACUAGUCUUGUUAAUAAUGUUACCAUAUUUACCCUUAUAUAGUGAAAUUGUACAGAUCCAUUUCAUUUUAAUCAAUUACAGGAAAGAAGAAAAGACAACACCCGUUUUCCAACCAUCCCAUCUCCAUAUCAAUUGUCAAAGAAGUAAAAGCAAUCGGAUUUCCAGUGCAGUAUUGCCCACUCCAUUUGCAUGGCUUGUCUUAUUUUUCUAGACAGACGCUUGUUCUGUGUGUUGAGUCAUCCAAUGAUUCGAACAGUUUCAAUCCAAUAAGUUGCAGUGAAAGUGCUUUUGAGCUGCCAGCUCUUUCCCUAAAGGCACAAUCAGAGCAUUUGUCAAUAAACUCUGACUCCAAAGAUGGAACGGGAAUGCUCUCUGCAGAGGUGGAAGAUUGUAGCAGCUCCACAAAACCGCCUGAAAGCCGACAUUCAGUUACUUGGCGGGAAUACAGCUCCACACAGCUGGCCUGGCUCCUCGCCUCCUAACAUCUGAAGUCUGUCUUUAGAGUGUGUUUCUCAGCGAGAGGGGCUUCUCUUUUCGAAUACAAAUAGCCCUGAGAGGCUAUCCAUCAUGCACAUCUUGCUUUGAAUUCCUUCAUUCACGUGCUUUCCUCCUUGCCCCAGCUGAGAUGAAGGUCC